rnacentral:rRNA from 1 species
UACGUAGGGCGCAAGCGUUGUCCGGAAUUAUUGGGCGUAAAGAGCUCGUAGGCGGUUUGUCGCGUCUGCCGUGAAAACCCGAGGCUUAACCUCGUGGCUUGCGGUGGAUACGGGCAGACUAGAGGUAGGUAGGGGAGAAUGGAAUUCCCGGUGUAGCGGUGAAAUGCGCAGAUAUCGGGAGGAACACCGGUGGCGAAGGCGGUUCUCUGGGCCUUACCUGACGCUCAUGCACGAAAGCGUGGGGAGCAAACAGG